rnacentral:lncRNA from 1 species
CAUGAGGAGCCCGAAGGUGGCCUGGUCGGCGAACGUGUAGGUCCCCUGCGCGCGGCCCACCUCGUCCUUGGAUUUGGCGGAUCCCGUGACGGCGGGGCUGGUGGUGAGCGGGUCGUCUAUGGCCACCACCGCGCCGAAGAAGGUGGAGGAGCUGUUGGUGGAUGCCGCCUGCGCAAUCCGGAUCGCCGUCGGGCUCUUCCCCGCUAGGACGUCGUGGAAGUACACCUUGAACUUGGUCAGGUCGUCCGCCGCGGAGGCCGGGCUCAGCGUCGCAGCUGCAGCUGCCGCGCAUAGGGCGAGGAGCAACGUCUUGCUGCUGGCCAUGGUGGAUGGAACUAGCUAGAUGCGAGGUCUGGGUAAUGGCGAAAGUGGGGAGCGGGCUAGUGUGGUGUAUAAUGUAUUUGAGGAGAGGACAAGCGAGGUGGGGUGGCCGACCAUGGGAGUGGUUGGCGCAGUGCCCGAUCUCUGUGUUUCUUUUCGACAAUUAUGCUCGAUCUCUCUUUGGACAAAUUCGGUUUUAAAACUUUCUUUUUAACAUUAGCCUAAUCUGAUCCCGUUCAUAAAAAUAAUCAGAUCUAAUCCUUUUUUCUACCGUCGCCACCGACUGUGUUGGUAGGAAUACACACCCUAUCAUCAUACGUAGUGACGGUAAGGGUCCGAUCAAUGUGGAUGAUUCCUUUGGAUCAACGGAGUCAAACAAGCCUACCACCAUUGUAUGUGCAAUAGAAUGUAUAUGGCUUACCGUCACAAUAGGUGGCGAUAGAAAAAAAUGUCAGAUUCAAAAAAAUAUUCAUAAUCAGGUCAGAUCGGGCUAAACUAGUCAAAACAUUGAAAUUGUUUUUCUCUUUCUUGGUGUACACUCGAUUCGGCGCGCAAAUGGGGCACGCAUGAUGAUUUGUGUAGUGUGAUGCCAACAAAGAGUUAAAUACACAGAAGGUAUCUCAACUUGUCUUGUGCAGUUAGUUUAGUGUAUAAAGUUGUAAAAUACAUGAAACUGGUGUUUAAACUUGUUUGAACGUGUAAAUACGGUGCCUUUAUACGUAUCUCAACGUACGUCCAGACCAUGUGGCGUGCCGGCAGCCCACCUAUCAGUGGCUGACAGCUGGCAUGGCGCUGGUAGCCCGAGCGUGAGUUUUUUUUAUACAACCUCCCUCGUAUUUUAUUUGAUCACCCAAAAGAACAUUACAAAUUAUAAAUUAGAAAGAAAAAAUAUGUAUGAUACAUCACAGAUUGCAUUGUAGGCAGGGCUAGUCCACCGGGCUAUACACUGCUUAGAGCAUCUCUAGUAGAACCCUCAAACCCUUAAAUCCAAAAUCAGUUUUAAGGGUUGAGAAUUGGCCGUUUUUGAUACUUUAAGGGUUGAAAAACAGAGGCAAAGACUAGAACCCUCAAACCCAACCCUUAUAGCCUAGUUUUGAACACUAUGAACAUGCACGCGGAGGAACAGAGGAUACAAAAAUGACUUCAGCCGCGGAGGAGCUCGCGCUCGCGCUCGCGGAGGAGCUCGCGCUCGCGCUNCCCCCCCCCCCCCAACGCUCACUUCUACAGGCUGGGAAGGGGUCUGAGGGUUCGACCUCUAAAUUUUUUUAUGGGUUUAAGGGUUUAAGGGUUCUAGUCUACGCCGUUUUUCCGAUGAAAAAUGUAAAAAAAAGCGGUUAUUUUUAAGGGUUUGAGGGUUNNNNNNNNNNNNNNNNNNNNNNNNNNNNNNNNNNNNNNNNNNNNNNNNNNNNNNNNNNNNNNNNNNNNNNNNNNNNNNNNNNNNNNNNNNNNNNNNNNNNNNNNNNNNNNNNNNNNNNNNNNNNNNNNNNNNNNNNNNNNNNNNNNNNNNNNNNNNNNNNNNNNNNNNNNNNNNNNNNNNNNNNNNNNNNNNNNNNNNNNNNNNNNNNNNNNNNNNNNNNNNNNNNNNNNNNNNNNNNNNNNNNNNNNNNNNNNNNNNNNNNNNNNNNNNNNNNNNNNNNNNNNNNNNNNNNNNNNNNNNNNNNNUUUAAGGGUUUGAGGGUUCUACUAGAGAUGCUCUUAGUGCAUAUUGAAGAGAUCGACCUCUAUAUAUUGCAUUGAUAUUUAAAAAGUAACUCUGCAGCACGGGCACAUUGUGUCUAUUUUUUGAACUUCAAAGAAAUGGAGUUUUGCAGAUAAAAUUUUAUGACCUUUUUGUGCAUGCACACAUAGAAGUGUAAGAUAUCCGUGUGAAUUUUCAUCAAUAUUUGUGCGUGUAUGUGGGACAUAAAAAAGGUCAACCCAUGCAAAAAAUCAGUUUGUUUUUUUUCGGCCGCUUUUUGUUUUAGUUUUUGUUUUUCUAUAGAUGGAAGACACAUAAAAGAUAUGCAUAAGUUUUGCGUGAAAACAAUCAACUAUUUUUAAAACUUUGAAGUGCCAGUUUUUAGCCUAAAAAAUGUGCUCAGUGGCAAAUGUGCUUAGUGGCCACCGUGCUCCAAGAAUUCUGCCUUGGUUGCCAUCUAUCAGUUCAAGCGAUUUUUAUUUGUGUGGCGCUUCUAUGGAGCUACAUAAGUUUUAUUUUCAUUUUUUCAAGUUCUUUGUUGUAAUUUGUCAUAUUAUUUUUACAGUUAAAAAAAGAAAUGUAAGAAAAAAUUACAACUUGCAUAAACUUAAAGAAAGUGUUAGUGCAUUUGAAAAAUGUUUAACAUGUUGUUGGAAAAUGUUCUACAUGCAAAAACAAUGAUAUAACGUGUAUUUUAAAAAUGUUUGUCUUGCAUUAAAAAAUUGGCAAUGUGUAUUUAUAAAAAGUUCAAUCGUGUAUUAAAAAAUUAUUAUGUAACAUUUUGAAUAAUUUUAUUAAAAAUUUCAUGCGAGUCUCCGCCACGUGGGAUGGAUUUACGUUCGUAUACGGAAGAAGGCACCGUAUUUGCACGACCGGACAAGUUCAAGCACCAGUUUUGUGUAUUUUACAACUUUAGGCACCAAACUAACCGUGCAGAACAAGUUGAGACACCUCUAGUGUAUUUAACUCGCCAACAAACUAAUGAUGUCGGAAAGCAUGGAAUCUUGUCUCGUUAGGUGAGACCAUGCAUACUCUUGAAAUGAGCCAAUUAUUGUUAGGGUAUCGGAGCUGGAAUCACUCGGAUCUACUAGUUUAACUCACGAAUUCGGUACAUAUGUGACGAUUAUAAGCAGAUACACGAAUUUGGGUGGAAGGGGAUCGGUGGAGAUGAAGAACAGGGGAAGUAGCCGCCGCCGUUGUCGUGAUCCUCUCGAUAACCCUUCCCUCUCGCGAUGCAGCAGAUAAGUAGGUAGCGAUGCUUCACAUGGACCAAGUCGGGCCGUGGUAGCGGGGGAUUGGGAAGCCUGGGCCGUGCGGGCCUUGCAGCAGCGGGGGCUUACUCGUCGUUGCGGUCUUGUGGGCACGCUAUGCCAGGGUCGCUGACAUCCCCCUCCGCUUGGGAUGAGGCAUGUCCCCAAGCCUCGUCGUGUGGGAAGCGCGCCAACAGACUUGCUUUGUCUUCCCAAUUAUGUCCCAAUGUUGAAGUAUUGGACCAUUGGAUCUUGACUUGUUCGCGGACGCCGUCCUUGUGCUUGCACCAGCGAGUUUGCAGUAUCGCUAUAGGAACAACGAGAUCAUCAGAUGAAUCAGGUAGAUGAGUUUCAACUGUCGUACCCAGAAGAAGAGUGCGACGUAGCACCAAAACGUGAAACACCGGGUGCACCGUAGCUUGUGAUGGCAGCUGGACCUUGAAAGCGACUUCGUUGAUUUUGGCGACAAUUGGGAACGACUCGUAGUACUUGAAGGCUAGUUUGUGAUUUGCCCGCGGUGAGACAAAGGUUUGGAUGUAUGGCUCGAGCUUGAGGAAGACUUGGUCACCAAGGAAAAUGUUCAGAACGGUCGCUUCUUGUCAGCCUGCUCCUUCAUAAUCUGUUGAGCUCUCUUGAGAUGUUAUUGCAGUAGGUCUUGCACCAAGGCACGCUCGUCAAGCCAAGACUGGAGUGCUGGGACCGAGCAUAUAGUAGCAUGAGUAAGCCCCUAGUGUUGCAGUUCAUACCCAAACAUGGCCUUGAAAGGAGUCAUCCCAAUGGUAGAGUGGUGAGUGUUGUUGUACCAAAAUUGGGCGAGGGGAAUCCAGAAGCUCCAAUGCCACGGACAUGCCUGUAUAAAGCAGCGAAUAAAUGUUUCCCCACACUGAUUGCCACGUUCAGUUUGACCAUCCAUUUGCGGGUUGUUUGUUGCGCUCAGUCUGAGUUUUGUUCCUGCGCCACGAAACAACUCCUGCCAAAAGUGACUUGUGAACACCGGAUCCCUGUCAAAAAUAUUAGCUCCUCGCACACCAUGAAUCUUAUAUAUCUGAUGCAGGUAUAGUUGAGCGACUGCAGCUGCUAUAUAAGGAUAAGCUAGUGGCAAUAAGUAGGCGAACUUGGUGUGUUUGUCCACCACCAUAAGCAAACAAUUGAACUUACUGGAUUGUGGCAGGCCAUCGAUGAAAUCCAUCGAGAUCAUCUCCCAUGGUUGGUCUGGUACUGGAAGUGGCAGAAGCAGUCCUGUUGAUGCAGCCCGAUCAGGUUUUGCUUGUUGGCAUACUUGAUAGCAGCGGACAUAUUGCUGAACAUGUGUCUUCAUCUUGGGCCAAGCGAACAGGCGACGAAUGCGCCGAUAGGUCACUGGAAAGCCUGAGUGUCCGCCCAUUGGAAUAUCGUGAAAGGCUGGAAUAAUCUUCUAUUGAAUAGCAGUAUUUCCUCCCAUCCAAAUCCUGCCACGGAAACACAGUAUGCCCUUCUGCAACGAGAAACGUCCUUUGGGGUCUUCCCCAACUGCCAAUUGCUCGAGUAAAUUUUCAGCCUACGGGUUGUUGAUGUAGUUGUUGGCAACAUCUUCGAUCCACGCCGGUUGACACGAUGUGACCACUGCUAGACUAUCCGAGGGGUUGGCUGGCGAUAACGCGUCAGCACCAGCGUUCUCAAUACCCCUUUUGUAACGGAUGUGGUAGCGUAGACCGAGUAGUUUGGUAAAAACCUUUUGCUGCCACAGAGUUGUCACUCGUUGUUCCUCCAAGUGAACCAAACUCUUCUGAUCUAUCAAGAUGUCGAACUCAGCAUGCUGCAAGUAGGGACGCCAUUGGUUAACAACCACUAUAACUGCCAAGUACUCCUUCUCAUAAGUUGACAAUCCUUGGUACCGCGGGCUGAGGGCUUUGCUCACGAACGCAAUCGGAUGGCCUUGUUGUUGUAGGAUGGCACCAAUGUGGCGGUCGCUGGCGUCUGUUUCUACUGUAAAGGAUUGCUUGAAGUUGGGUAGGGCCAGUAUUGGGGCUGAUAUGAGCUGUUGUUUGAGCACCUCGAAUGCCUCUUCGGUGACUGGAGUCCAGAGAAACGGGACCCCCUUUUUGAGAAGAUUGAAUAACGGACGUGCUAUCACACCAAGGUUCCUUACGAAACAACGAUAGUAGCCAGCUAGCCCCAGGAAACUGCUGACUCCCUUGACGUCCAUAGGCGCUGCCCAGUUGGCUACUGCUGCAAUCUUGGAAGGGUCAGUCGACACACCUUCUGCACUGAUUGUAUGGCCCACGUAGAAGAUCUGUUGUUGACUGAAAGUGCACUUGCUGAGCUUGACAUCCCACUUGUCUUGUCGCAAGAGUUGCAGAACCUUCCUCAGAUGAGUGACGUGUUCUGAGAAGGAGAUGCUGAAAACCAGGAUGUCAUCAAAGAAAUGGAGCACACAAACACGGUUGACACGCUUGAGCGUUGUUGUAGUUGCGCCGAUAAAUGUCGUUGGUGCAGCUGCGAGGCUGAAUGAGACCACUUUGAACUCAAAAUGACCUUGAUGUGUUUGAAAUGUCAUCUUGUGUUCUUCCCGUGGCCCGAGUCUGAUCUGGUGGUAACCCGCGCAGAGGUCCAGUUUGGAGAACCAGGCUGCGCCGUGUAAUUCAUCCAAGAGCUCUUCGAUGACUAGGACAUGGUACUUGGCGACCACACUGAGUGCAUUGAGGUGUGUGUAGUCUAUGCACAGGCGCCAAAUUCCAUCUUUUUUCUUGACUAGAAUGACUAGAGAGGAAAAAAGGUUGGUACUAUGUUGAAUGACACCUGAUUUGAGCAGGGCCUCCACCUGUGCUUCAAUAUCUGUUUUGUGUUCUGCUUUGUGAAGGUAAGGCCUCAUGUUAACUAGUUGUGCCCCGGGAAUGAGAGGUAUCCAAUGAUCACAGGCGCCCCUUGGAGGUAGGCCUGUGGGUUCUGCGAAUACAUCAGGAAAGUCAUCGAUGACAUGUUGAACGCACUCUGGUAUAGGACCUGAAGGUUCACUUGUUGGAGAAACCACGCACACAUGAAUGAUGUGCGAUAUACUUCCUUUGCUGCAAAGGCCUUGGAUCUGAAUAUAGUUGAUAGCUUUGCAAACAGAGGAUGCAACAUCGUGUCCCACUAACCGAACUGGCCCUGCUGGAGUAGAGAUCUCAAUGAAGCGGUUGCGCCAAUCGACUGUCAUGGGGUUGUGCUCCUCAAGUCAGCCCAUCCCCAAGAUGGCGUCAUAUGUGCCUAGUGCCAGCACCUUGAGAUCCGUGAAAAACUCAUGUCCCUGUGAGUACCAUGGGUAGCUGGGAAUGAAUGAUGAGCAGAUCAUCUCGCCUCCAUCGACGACAUGGACACACCCUGGUUUAGGCAGAGGUUGAACGCCUCACACAGCAGCUGCGAGACGAGCGUCGAUGAAGGAAUUGGAGCUGCCUAAAUCCACCAGCAGAAGUACUUCUCGUUCGUGAAUCCAAGCUCGUAACUGAAACGCUUUGGCAGAAACUCCCCCAGUCACUACCGACUGAGAGAUGGCCAUGAGAGAGUCGCUUGUCCGGCUUGGAGAAGGCAGUUGCUGAUACGUCCAAAACGUAUCUAUAAUUUUUUAUGGUUUCAUGCUACUUUUAUGCUUUUGAUAAUUGUUUUUAUAUUAAGUUUAUGAUUUAUUUGGACUAACCUACUAAUAGUUGCAAAAGUUCACAAUGUUCUUGUUUUACACUUUGAUGUUUGCAUCGAUGGCUGCCUUGAUCUUUGCCUCGAACUGGCCGAGGAAGGUGGACACGGAGGGAUCCAUGGCGUCGAGCGGCGUGCGAGAUUGCUUCAACGUGCGAGUCUCGAUCAGAUGCGCUAGAGCGAUGAGCGGGGCGGAAUACUGGUCUCUGAUACCAUAUGUUAGGGUACCAGAGCUCGAAUCAGUCGGAUCUACUAGUUUAACUCACGAAUUCAGUACAUAUGUGGCAAUUACAAGCAGAUACACGUAUUUGGGUGGAAGGGGAUUGAUGGAGAUGAAGAACAGGGGAAGUAACCGCCGCCGUUGCCAUGAUCCUCUGGAUAACCCUUCCCUCUUGUGAUGCAGUAGAUAAGUAGGUAGCGACGAUUCACUUGGACCAGGCCGGACCGUGGUAGCGGGGAUUGGGAAGCCUGGGCCGCACAGGCCUUGCAACAGCAAGGGCCUGCUGGUCGUAGCGGUCUUGUGGGCCCACUAUGCGAGGGUCGUUGACAAUUUCGAACACCUAAUUCUCUGGUUUCUUGUUUGGGAUGAUAAGACCUCUUCGCCUGUUAAUUUUCUUUCGCAUUCAUCUACGAAGAGCAGAUAAUCAGUUUGUCGACAUGGAUGCUGGAGGUCGUUAUCCAACACUACUCGCUAACCUGCAGUUGAAUAACUCAAUGACAUUCAUGCAAACUGGUUGAUAUACAUAAAAUUUAGUAUAAAAAUAGCAUAAACUAUUCAUACAUAGCAUGCAAAUUAAGUUUAAUACAACAAUGUCUCAAAUUCAACAAGAUUAAUUGGAUAACAAAAUGACAAGAUGAGGUGCCUCGGGAACCCCAUAUAGAAAGAAGGGUCGAAGGUUUUUGGCGUGUACCCCCCCUCAACUAUUUGGGGUCCAAAUAUAUCCGCCAUUGUAACUUAAUAGGUAGGACCGGUGGAAACAAGUUUUCCAUCAAUGAAUCAUGCCCUCCCACACAUGCCCCCCUGAUACGUCCCAAACGUAUCUAUAACUUCUGCUUGUUCCAUGAUCUUUUAGGUGACAUUGUUAUAUGUUUUGCUACACUUUUAUAUCAUUUUACACAUAUUUGCUUAAUGGUUAGUCCUUGUGAGCUGCCCUACAUGAUCAAGGCAUCUAUGUAAUUCUCUUGCUAUUGCUAUGCACGGUUUGUUGGGAUCCGAUGGAUUAUGAGAUUAUGUUCAGAUUAUUAUGAUUUAUAUAUUUGAUUAUCCUUUUAUAUUAUGUUCCUUAGUGAUUCAUGCAUGUUCUUCGUUGCUAUUUAUUGCUUUGGCCGAGUAGUAGAUUGUAACUCCAAGAGGGAGCGUUAUGCAUGAUUGUGGGUUCAUGCCCCUCGAUGUCUAGCUUGAGUGACAGAAACAUCAGACUAGGGGAUGUGUUGUUACCACCAGGGAGAAAACAAUGGUGCUUAUGACCACGGUUGCAAGGAUUGUUUACCUUAGGCAUAGUUCAUUAAUGCAGUUGUCCGUUGCUUUGAGUUUAUACUUUGGGUGGGGCUCGCAACUUAAUACCGGCGAGAUGUUCUGGAUAGAUAUCUUAAGGUGGAUGAUUAGUAAGUAGAUGUUGAUGAAUAAACUGUCUACUUUUCUUGGCAUACUGCCCAUUACUAUUGAACCUCUAACUAUCAAGUAGCAUAAUUAGCAUUGCGGUGCGUUCAUAAUUCUGUCAAUUGCCCAACUGUGAUUUGUUUACCCAAGCAUAGUUGUUUAUCGUCUUUUGGGAGAGAGACAUCACUACUGAACAUCAUGUGACUCUGGUCCAUAUCACCAUCAUUGUUUACACCUCCAUCAUUUACCGUUUUCAUUUACUUUUCCUUUGCAAUCACUAUUACUUUCCCGCUUGUGUUUUGAUCCUUUGCAAACUACAAGGCCGGAGAGAUUAACAACCUCUCUGUACUCGUUGGGAGCAAAGUUAUUUGUUGUUUGUGCAGGUCCACGUCUUCUGCUGACCAGGAAAGAGACACCUACUUGUUGGUCCUAGGAGUCCUCCUGGUUCGAUAAACCUUACAGUUCCCGUGUGAGGGAAAACUUGUCGCUGACUACAUCUCAACCUUCCACUUGGGGUAACCAACGAGGUGCGAGAAGUAUAUACAUCAUCUCGUCAUCAAGCAAAGUUUUCUGGCGCCGUUGUCGGGGACUCGAGUCUUCAAGAUAAGGGAGUUGCACACUAUCCUUUACCUUUGCUUUUUAGUCUUGUUAGUUUGCUUUUUUUAUUUUUUGCUUUAGAGUCUUAUACCAAAAACCACAAAAAAAUUAGUUGUUUUGUUCUUGCUUGUUGCCGCUGCUAUGGUUUCCACUGAGAACACCAAGUUGUGUGACUUCACUAGUCACAACAACAAUGACUUUAUCUGCACUCCUAUUGCUGCUCCCGCCACUCGAUCCACGUCCUAUGAGAUUAAACCUGCGUUACUGAACCUAGUUAUGAAAGAUCAAUUCUCCGAUGCUGGAGAUGAUGUCGCUUUGCACUUGAACAAUUUUGUUGAGCUCUGUGAUAUGCAAAAAUAUAAAAAAGUAGAUGGUGAGAUUAUUAAACUUAAGCUUUUUUCCUUUCUCCUUGAGAGGAGGAGCUAAAGUGUGGCUUCAAUCUUUGCCUAGGAAUAGCAUAGAUUCUUGGGAUAGGUGCAAAGAUGCUUUUAUUGGGAAGUAUUACCCGCCUGCUAAGAUUAUCCAGUUGAGGAGUAACAUCAUGAAUUUUAGACAAUUGGAUAAUGAACAUGUUGCUCAAGCUUGGGAACGUAUGAAAUCUCUUGUUAAGAAUUGCUCUACAUAUGGUUUGACUACUUGGAUGGUUAUCCAAACUUUCUAUGCAGGAUUGAACUUUACCUCGCGGAAUCUGUUAGACUCGGCCGCGGAUGGAACCUUUAUGUCAACUACACUUGGUGCUACCACAAAGAUAUUGGAUGAGAUGAUGACAAAUUAUUCUCAAUGACACACUGAGAGAGCUCCAACAGGUAGGAAGGUAAACUCUGUUGAGGAGAUCUCCUCCCUUAAUGAUAAGGUUGACAUGAUCAUGACUCUACUUACUAAGCAAGCUCCUACUGAUCAUCAUGAUGUUCCUUUAAAUUCUUUGGUUGCUCAAGAAAUAGAGCAAGUUGAUGUUAAUUUUAUCUCUAGGAACAACUUCAAUAAUAGUGCCUAUAGGAGUAAUUUUGGUAUCAAUCCUAGACCGUUCCCAUCCAACAACUAUGGGAACAACAACAAUUAUCCUACCACCAAAAACUCCACUUCUGGAUUAGAGAGCAUCCUUAAAGAUUUUAUCACUUCUCUAAAAUCCUUCAAGAAGAAUGUAGAAGAGAAACUAGAAAAAUUAGAUAGUCUCUCUUUGAAGGUGGACAACAUAGCUCAUGAUGUAGAGAUGCUUAAAAUUAGAACUUCACCAUUUGAGGAAAGGAACACAACACCCAUGAAUGUUAUACAAGUCCAAAUUAAUGAGAACAUAAGAAUGCUAGCCAAACUUAAGGAUAGAUGGGCUAGAGAAAAGGAAGAGGAAGAGAGAAUUAAGAGCCUUCAUAAACACACUACCAUUGCUACUAUACAAGUUGUUGAGGAUCUCAAAACUUUUAGCACCCAUCACACUCCUAGUCCCAAUGGACCUAUUAAUGGUGAUGCUAAUACCUCAACUAUAGGACAAGAAGGUCCUUUGAAUUUAGAGACUACCAAAAUAAUGAGCUUAGAUGACAUUACUACCACUUUAAUUAAUGGUAGUAAUCUUGAUUUUGACAAUUGUAGUCUUUUCGAAGUCAUCACCUUUUUGCACUUCAUCGAGCAUAUUACCAAUGCUCUUAUCAAAGAUAGGGAGGAGAAGCUCAAGCUAGAGACUUAUAUUACUAGAAAACUAGAAGAUGGUUGGUAUCCUAUAGUCAAAAUUAAAUUGAACAAUAUCUCUUUCUUUGCUUUGCGUGAUGUUGGAGCUAGUGCCUUCGUUAUGCCCAAAACAAUGUAUGACAUGCUUGAUUGGAAACCUUAUGAUCCAUGUUCUUUUGGUGUUCGUGUUGUUGAUUCUUCCAUAAAGAAACCUUUAGUGAGAAUUGAUGAUGUUCUUAUUAUUGUCAAUGAUAAUUAUGUACCCGUUGAUUUUCUUAUUAUGGACAUUGAAUGUGGUCCUUCAAGUCCAAUUAUUUUGGGACGUCCUUUUCUCCGCAUUGUUGGUGCUAUCAUUGACAUGAAAGAGGGAAUCGUUAAAUUACAAUUCCCCCUUAAAAAUGGAAUGGAACACUUCCCUAGAAAGAAGAUUAAGUUACCUUAUGAGUCCGUUACUCGGGCAUGUUAUUCUUUUGGAGUUGAUAAUACUUGAUCUUCUUACAUUAUGCCUAGCUCAAAGGUAUAAAAGAAAGCGCUUGUUGGGACGCAAUCCAAUUUGUUUUUACUUUCCAUUUUAGUGUUCUUGAUGCUUGGUACUACGGUAGAAACAUCAUUGUAUCUUUAUUUUUAAGCUUUGUGCCAAGUUAUAGCCUGCGAUUGCAAGAAAGUUAAAAAAUUGUGACAUGCUGUCCAGAAACAGAUUAUGUCUGCUUGACGGAAAAAUUCGCCACAAGGCACCAGAUCAUCUUUUUUAUCUGAAUUUUUUUGACAGGAUGCUCUAUAUAAUUUCCUUUCUGGAAUUUGCUCUUAGUUCUUGAUUUAAGUUGCAUAAGUGCCCCGAAUAAAUUAUUUACUACCUGUUAUUCUAUUUUUCACAGAUUCUACCAUGUUUUGCGUUUUCAUUGUUUUGCAAAUCCUAAGCUUACUUUUUUAUUUGCAAAAACCUUUUGGAAAUCAUGAGAAAUAGUAGCUUUUCAUGAAAAUCUUUAUUUCCAGAAGGUAAUGAAUUAUUAUUUUAAGGUUACUAACCACUCUAAUCAGCUUAUGAUGAGUUUCGUAUGAAGGAAGUUUUCAAGUAUGCGAUUGGAGAUGAUGAAAAAAGAUACAAGAGUGUCAAGCAAUCAAGCUUGGGGAUGCCCCCAUGCACCCCAAGAAAUAUUCAAGGAGACUCAAGCAUCUAAGCUUGGGGAUGCCCCCGUGCAUCCCCUUCUCUAUCAACAAUCAUCAGUUCGUCCAUCUCCAUGCUAUAUUUUUAUCACUUCAUAUGUUAUGUGCUAUGCUUGGAGCAUCCCGCUCUUUACUUUUUAGUUUGUUUUAGUUUUGCUUGUUGUUCAUAACAAGUCGGAACCUAGCCUAACUUGUUUGGGAGACACACACGCUCCAUUCCAUUCUAGAACACAACAUAGGUUUUCAUGCUUAUCUUUUGUGUGUGUUCUUUAUCUUUCCAUAGCUACUGUCAUGCUUAGCUCUUAGUUUUCAUGCGUAUAUUUUUAAGAGCUUUUAUUUACGUUGCUUUUGGAACUCUCUUGAGUUAAGAUGCUUAUCUUGUUUAGAGAGUUGGCUCGUUGCACUGAGUUGUGUGUCUUGCAUGAGUAGGUAAUUGAGGUUGCUAUUUAAGUAUGGUAGUAACUUGCAAUAGUUUUGAGGUAUUGAUUUGAGUAAUGUUUGGACUAUUGGCACCAAGAUCUUGAGCCUAUUAGUGAUAGGUGUCGUAUUUUGGGAAAUCCAUGUGUUUUUCAAAAAACUAAAAAUUAGUUGAGAACUCUAGCUACUAAAUUGAUCGCUAACCUCUGGAGGGGUUGGAAUAUAUAGAGUACCCUCAUGUUACCAUGAGUCGAGGAUGCGCAAGGAUAACCAAACCCCCAAACACUCCUCCUUGGGGUACUUGUCUCUUUUUGAAUUUCCUAACUAGAUAGAGAGUUAUCGAUAAUAAGUGUAUGAGUUCUUCGGACUAAUGUGAGUAUUCGAUUGUUGGCACUUCCACCAUCCAUAUUUGCUAGCCUCUUCGGUGGCAUGCAUUGCCCUUUCUCACAUUAAGAGUUGGUGAAAACUCCGCAGGUUCAUCCAAACCCAUGACAUGAUACGCUGUGUCAUACAUAAGCCUCAUUAUAUCUUUCCUCAAAACAGCCACCAUACCUACCUAUUAAGGCAUUUCCAUAGCCUUUUCGAGAUACAUUUCCAUGCAACAUCCACCAUCUCAUGACUUGAUCUUCAUGUCAUCAUGCUUUUGCUUGAUCGUAGAGCAACAUGAUAGUUGGGCCUUGCCCCAAUUAUUGCUACAUGACGCGCUAGUAUCAUUGCAUAUCCUGCAACACUAGCAGAGGCAUACAUUUGCAUACAUCAUGAUAGUUUUCACUUGUCUUUAUGUUGAGUACUUCUUAUAAAGUGUGAUGAUCUUAUUUUUAUUCUUGUAAAACAUAGAGUGUUGCCCUUAAGUGAGGAAAAGAUCCCAAAGAGGAAAAACAAAAGAUCCCAAAGAGGACAAAUGAUAGAUAAAAAAGAAAGAGCCAAAGAGGCCACAAAAAAAUAAAAAAAUAAAAAGAAGAGAAAAAUAAAAAAAAGAGAAGGGGGCAACACUACUAUUCCUUUUGAAGAUCCAAACUCGUACUCCAUUGCUAUAUUUGUACUGCAUAGAGAUUAUCAUUUAUGCAUAACUAUGUGGGGACCCUUACACUGUAGAACUUGGUUGGCAUAUUCCAAUGAUGAGCCCCCUCAAAUGAGCUCUAGGUCUUCAUGAGCAAACAAGUUGGAUGCACCCCACUAGUUCCAUUAGAGAGCUUACCUUAGCUCAUAUGUGCAUCUGUUACAUGGCAAUCCCUACUCCUCACAUCAUAUCUAUCAUUUGGCUUUCUCUCGCCUAUGGUUGUCCUCAUUGAUGUGAGCCUUUCACACCUUUUUGUCUUCCUUACCCAUCAUUAUUCUAUAUGCCAUACUAAGUGCCAACAUAUCUUUCUUACGCUCAUCCAUUGCAUGAGUGCUCAAAGUCGAAAGGGAGAGGAUCAUUUUGACUUGUGCCUGACUAGUGGUCCCGGGAUGAGUCAAAUAAGAUUCUGAAGGAGAUCAAGUGUGAAAUUUUAGUAGAUUGAGUUCUUAAUUAAAAAAAUAUUUUAUGAUCUCAACCCAUCUCCCACUUCUUGCACGCAAACACCAUUUGGAGACAUUCGAGUCGCGGAGAGCGAGAGCUCUUGCACGUUUAUGUUCUUACUUUGCUAAUUUCAAUACUAGAUAUAAACUCUUGCUUGUUAUUGUCUUGAAUUGAAUUGCAUAUCUUACUUGCCUUACUUUGAAGUUCUUAUAUGUGUGUUAGCAUGUCACCACAAAAAUUAUUGUGUUAUCAUUUAUCUACUCGAGGACGAGCAGAAAUUAAGCCUGGGAAUGUUGAUACAUCCCAAACGUAUCUAUAAUUUAUGCUUAUUCCAUGAUCUUUUGGGUGACAUUGUUAUAUAUUUUGCUACAUUUUUAUACCAUUUUACACAUAUUUGGACUAACCUACUAACUUAGUGCACCCAGUGCCAGUUUCUGUCAGCUGAUGUCUAUUUUGCACGGGCUUUUACCCAAUUUUCUGAAGCCCGAAAAAUUAAAUAUAUAAAAAAUCAGCGUAACGGAAGCUUCCACAUCACUAAAGAUGGGCCAUAGGGGGGCCAGAGGCCGCCUGGGUGGGCCCACCUCCUCCGGUACCCUCCUUCGGCCUAUAUUUAGUCCUCCAAGAGAAAACCCUUACACAACUUCGAGAAUCGCGAAUUUCUCCAUCGUUCCGCUGCCACAGGGCUUCCGAGAUCGGGAGCAUUAGGAGACCUCUUCCCGGCACCCUGCCGGAGGGAGGAUUGACCUCCGGGAGCUUCUCCACCGCCAUGGAUGCUUCCCGGACAUGCCGUGAGUAGUCCUCCUUGUACCAUGGGUCCAUGACCAGUAGCUAUGUGAUGUCUUCUCUCCAAUCUUGUGCUUCAAUGGUUAGUAUUUCUGAGUUGCCCUACAUGAUCAAGGUAUCUAUGUAAUUCUCUUGCUAUUGCUAUGCUCGGUUUGUUGGGAUCCGAUGAAUUCAUGCAUGUUCUCCGUUGCUAUUUAUUGCUUUGGCCGAGUAGUAGAUUGUAACUCUAAGAGGGAGCGUUAUGCAUGAUCGUGGGUUCAUGCCCCUCGAUGUCUAGCUUGAGUGAGAGAAAUAUGAGACUAGGGGAUAUGUUGUUGCCACCAGGGAGAAAACAACGGUGCUUGUGACCACAGUUGCAAGGAUUGUUUACCUUACGCAUAGUUUGUUAAUGCAGUUGUCUCUUGCUUUGAGUUUACACUUUGGGUGGGGCUCGCAACUUAAUACCGGCGAGAUGUUCUGGAUAGAUAUCUCAAGGUGAAUGAUUAGUAAGUAGAUGCUGAUGAAUAAAUGGUCUACUUGUCUUGGCGUACUGCCCAUUACUAUUGAACCUCUAACUAUCAAGUAGCAUAAUUAGCAUUGCGGUGCGUUCAUAAUUAUGUCAAUUGCCCAACUGUGAUUUGUUUACCCAAGCAUAGUUGUUUAUCGUCUUUUGGGAGAGAGACAUCACUAGUGAACAUCAUGUGACUCCGGUCCAUAUCACCAUCAUUGUUUACACCUCCAUCAUUUACCGUUUACAUUUACUUUUCCGUUGCAAUCACUACUACUUUCCCGCUUGUGUUUUGAUCCUUUGCAAACUAGAAGUCCGGAGAGAUUGACAACCUCUAUGUACUCGUUGGGAGCAAAGUUAUUUGUUGUGUGUGCAGGUACAUGUCUUCUGCUGACCAGGACAGGAGACACCUACUUGUUGGUCCUAGGAGUCCUCCUUGUUCGAUAAACCUUACAGUUCCCGUGUGAGGGAAAACUUGCUGCUGACUACAUCUCAACCUUCCACUUGGGGUAACCAAUGAGGUGCGGGAAGUAUAUACAUCAUCUCGUCAUCACCCCCCUUCAGUUUCAUCAAACAAGGUAUGCACGUAAAUGGUCAUUCCUCUGUACUAUGGUACAUCAUGAUGACGCAUGCAGGUUACAUAAUGUGUAGACUAACAUUGAGUGAACGAAUAAAUCAACAAGUUAAGAAAGGGAAACCAAAAAUUAUAAUCUCGUACUCUCCCGUGUGAAUUGGUCACCUAGCCUCCAGCUAACAGACCACAAUAUAAAACUUGGAGACGUUGAUGUGACUAGGGUACCGGCGAUACGAUAACGACCUCACAUUGCGUUCUUGAAUGAUGUACAUGUCGUAGGCCGCAACAUGUUUUCAUGCGUGAAACGCUUCAUGCACUUGGUGCCAGAAUGUCUUACAUCGGCUCGUGCAAUCCGCGGAUACGUCAACAACGCAUCACACAACAACUCAUCCUCCAUAGUAGAGUAGCUCACCAUCCUUCGUACUCUAAAAAAGAAUAUGUCAUUCAAAAAUAAGAUCAACCGUAUUUCAUCAAACACCUGUCAAGCAUGGUGUCCGCCAUGGCGGGCGUCCACACGGGGGCGGAGUGUACCUAGAUACAAACGGCUCUAGGAUCGACAGGAUUGUCAGAGAGGUGAACGGGCGCGUAGGUGCUGGUUGCGGAUGUCCGUCAAUGCCUUCGUGGCAGCCUGAGACGUAUAACAACGACGAUGGAGGUUGAGGGUGUGGAUGCAGAGCAAGGGGGUGGGGAGAACGGACGGAGUGGAAGGAAAUGGGACAGGGAGGUGGAUUGGGUAGGUCGGGGGUGUCGGAGUCCUACGUUUGUGUGUCCAAACUCCCGCAAAACCCCCAACAUUUGUCUCCAAUUUGCGGAAGGAAACACUUCCGGACCGCUCGACGGAAUCAUACAAACCCAUGUUGGAUGGCAUCCGCGGUCCGGAUGAAUGUGCGAGGUUUGCAAGUCGUUGUUGGAGAUGCCAAGACCGCGUUAUUCGAACUGCGGAAGCCAUCCAACAUGGGCAUGUAUUGGUCCGUAGGGUGCUCCAAACCUACUUUCUCCCACAAACCGGAGACAAAUGUGUGUGUGCGGGGUGCUUUGUGGGCGUUGAGACAACACCCAAGCCCGCGUGCGAUUACCCUAGCCCACCAAAACCCCUCCUCCCUCGUGUGUGCGUGUUCCCACCCGGUGCGAGCUGCCACAUUCAUGCCGCCAUAGAGUGCGCUGAGGAUGGGCACGACCUCGCGGCCCCCGCCAUUGAGGAGAGUGCGAUGUUGCAUGCCCGGCUUCGAGCGCCUCCUCGCCGCAGUUAAACGCCUACGUUAAAGCCGCAUGGAAUCCGAGAAACCUAUUAUGGCCGCCAGUCCAGCCGUCCGUCUACCGCCCACAUUAAUGUCACAUGGUUGUCGAGGCGGCUACUCCAGUGUCACCUGUCCGUUCCUCUAUCGCCCACCAUUGCUUUUUAAAUUGCCGCCCUGGCCAUAGCCACAUCCAUCCUCCUUCAAUCAUUUCUCCUCUGUGCAGCGCUUCCACCAUGUAUUCCUCGUGCUCCAAAUUUCUCUAGGAUAGGCUGGCGACAGACCAGAAUAAGUAGAUGCCCGCCAUUGCUUUCAGCUGGCUCGCCGACAUGCAAUCGGAGGACUCUGAUGUUUCAUGGAGGAUCCGAUCGACGACAAGUCAAUGCCACCCUCCUCGUCUGGGCCACAAUCCUUCUUGUCCGUGCCACCCUUGUCGGUGCAUUGCACCACCAUCGGUGAGGCUCGUGCCCAUUACAUGGAUAUGGCAGGGUCGACCCCAUGUGUCGGUGGCCCAUCAGCCACACACCCGCGCGCGCGUUGGGCCGCUUGACCAUGGCCUUGGCCAUGGCCGGCAGCAGUAGUAGCAGCUGCCGAGGAGGGGGGGCGAGGCCGCGCGGGCUGGGGUGCCGUUAGGAACGGCGGCGGCCAUGGUCGGGCGCCGAUGGGUGCGGCAGGCGGAGAUGGGCUCGAGGCGACGGCAACAAGAAUGGCAGCAGCAAGCGGUGAGCGGGGCAAGCAGCAGGAGUUGCUCGGCAGCGGCUAGCGGUGGCUGAGCAGCUGCAACGCAUGGGCAUGUGCUCGGGCCGGAGGGAAUGAGGGUGAGGAAGGGGGUGGCGCUCACCCGCGUUGAUGGGAAGAGGAGGGAUGACGAGGCAGGGGGGCAGCGAGGCAGUGCCGGUGAUGACGAGCGGUGGCGCGGGGUCGGUGGCGAGGGCGCCGGUUUCGUGUGGGAUCGAGAGCGGUGGCCGAUGGGGGCCGGUGCGGUGGCGACGGAGAUGCGCCGACGAUGGGAGGUGUCAGGGUCGAGGGCGACGACGUUCGGUGCUAGCGGGUGCCGGAUAGCCCGACGGUGGCCUGUGCCGGCGGUGGCACCGGAGGGCUCGGGGGCUCGAGGGGGGGGAGAGCCGCCGUGAGGGGUCAGGGAAAUCGGGGCGAGGGAAGGGGAAAAUUAUAGGGUGGAGGGGUGAGGCCCCGUUAUAUAGGCUCGGGGUGAGGGGAGAGAUGGGUCGGUUGUGGGGGCUGGCCAGGCUGGGCCGGUCGGUUGGCCAGCUAGGACGAGGCCUAGUGGGGAGGGGGUUCUUUUAUUUAUUUAUUCCUUUAUUUUUUUUUGUUUUCUUUAAUCAGUCUUUGUUUUGCAUUUAUUUUAAAUAGUAAAUAUGUUUUUUAAAAUAUGGAACUCGGCCAAUAAUUAGUGUUGUAAUUUUUGGCACUGGCACAAAAGCUUUGGAAGACUUUUCUUAAAUUAGUUUGGAGCCUUUAUAAUUACAAAAACAUUUAAAUUAUUGUUUGGCCUCUCUUUUAAUUUUAUUAAGGCAUUAAAUCACUUUAUAGAAAAUGUUGGUUCACCACCAUAAUUAGUUAUAUAUUAUUUGUAAAAUUAUGAACAAUUUGUUUUUAUAUUUGAAGAAAUAAUAAUUUGACUUUAUUUUUAAUUUGAAAUUGGCUUUGAAUUUUAACAAGUACCAAUUUGGCUUAAUUAAUCUUGAUGACAUGACAUCAUUAGGAUGCAAUUAUCGUAACUUGAUUACAGUGGUUUCUGUAGCCUAAUCCAGGUUGGUUUGCUCCUUGCAUAUUGUUUGGUUGUUGAUUUCCAUAACCACAAAAUUAACAUAAAAUCGACACAAAUUAUCCUCCCAAAAGUUGAUGCAUCCGUUAGCAAAACCAUAAUAACCAGAGAGCCAACACCCAAAUCUCCAAGGAAAACUCUUAGAAACAACCGGAUGAUCUUAUCUCUCGUAAGACAUCUCCACUACUUGCCAUGUGGCCUUGUGGGGUCUCGAACGUCGAUCUCCUUCUCACCUUAUCUCUUUAUUUCAUAUUCAUCUCUUCCACAUAUUUCUCCCUCUUCCUUCCGUCUUCUUCAUCACAUGCGGCAGAGAAGAGGCCCCCGCAACAAGCACUACCGCUGAUGCGUGCUGUUACAACCAGUACCCCACCGCCCCUUCCCUCGCAGCCCGACCUUCUUCUUCUCCUUCGUAGGUGCCACCUUCUGCCUAAUUUUUCUGCCUAUGAGAGCUGAUACUCUGUGCCCUUCGCCACCCCAUUCGAGGAGGCGUGAGCGCAUUGCCGUGCUACGGGAGGGCAGUAUCGUCGGCGCUGCUGCGACGAACCUGCAAUGUAGCACCCGUGUUGCUGCGACCGUUGAUCUUGCCGGCGGGCAGAAGCUUCAACACAACAUCCAUGGUGUUGCGCUAAUGAAUAGAGUUGUAAUGUAACGUUGUUGCAAGCGGCGGACCUCGCCUGCGAUGGAGCUGCAGUGCAACAUGGAUGGUGUUGUCACCAGUGACCUCACCAACGAUGAGUUGUAGUAAAGUGUGGUGCAACGAAAGAGAUGAGAUGUAGCUGUUGGAAAUAUGCCCUAGAGGCAAUAAUAAAAUGGUUAUUAUCAUAUUUCAUUGUUCAUGAUAAUCGUCUAUUGUUCAUGCUAUAAUUGUAUUAACAGGAAACAGUAAUACAUGUAUGAAUAAAUAGAUCACAAUGUGUCCCUAGCAAGCCUCUAGUUGGCUAGCUCGCUAAUCAAUAGAUGAUCAUGGUUUCCUGAUCAUGGACAUUAGAUGUCAUUGAUAACGGGAUCACAUCAUUGGGAGAAUGAUGUGAUGGACAAGACCCAAUCCUAAGCAUAGCACUUGAUCGUAUUGUUCGUAUGCUAAAGCUUUUCUAAUGUCAAGUGUCUUUUCCUUCGACCGUGAGAUUGUGCAACUCCCGGACACUGUAGGAGUGCUUUGGGUGUAUCAAACGUCACAACGCAACUGGGUGACUAUAAAGGUGCACUACAGGUACCUCCGAAAGUGUCUGUUGGGUUGGUACGAAUCGAGAUCGGGAUUUGUCACUCUCGGCCCACUCGGUAGAACAUCAUCAUGAGCUCAAUGUGACUAAGGAGUUAGUCACAGGAUGACGUGCUACGGAACGAGUAAAGAGACUUACCGGUAACGAGAUUGAACAAGGUAUAGAUGUACCGAUGAUCGAAUCUCGGGCAAGUCCUAUACCGACAGACAAAGGGAAUUGUAUACAGGAUUGAUUGAAUCCUUGACAUCGUGGUUCAUUCGAUGAGAUCAUCAUGGAACAUGUGGGAGCUACCAUAGGUAUCCAGAUCACGCUGAUGGUUAUUGACUGGAGAGUGUCUCGAUCAUGUCUGCAAGCCUCCUGAACCCGUAGGGUCUACACACUUAAGGUUCGAUGACUCUAGGGUUAUAGGGAAUUGUUAUACGAGGUUACCGAAGGAUGUUCGGAGUCCCGGAUGAGAUCCCGGACAUCACGAGGAACUCCGGAAUGGUCCGGAGGUAAAGAUUGAUAUAUAGGAUGGAUGGGUUUGGACGCCGGAAAUGUUUCGAGCACCACCGGCAAAGUGUCGGGACCACCGGAAGGGUUCCGGAGGCCCACCGGGAGGGGACACAAGCCCCGAAGGGCUACGUAUGCCAAGUGCGGGAGGGAACCAACCCCUAGGUCGGCUGGUGUGCCCCCCACACCCAGCCCAUGCGCACCAGAGAGGGAGGGAGGGGAAACCCUAGGCGCUGGUGGGCCUAAGGCCCACCUAGGGGUGCGCCACCCCCUCUCCCUGCCCUGGCCGCCGCACCUCCCAUCUAAUGGGGCUGCCGCACCACCUAGGGUGGGAACCCUAGGGGUGGCACACCUCCCUCCCCUCCUCCUAUAUAUAGAGAGGGUUUUGGAGCUGUUUUACACACAGUUUUCCAUCUCCCUCGGCGCAGCCCUGCUUCCCUCCUUCCUCCUCUCCCACGGUGCUUGGCGAAGCCCUGCCGGGAGACCUCGUCUCUCCAUCGACACCAUGCCGUCGUGCUGCCGUAGAUAUUCCCCAAUCUCUCCCUCCUCCUUGCUGGAUCAAGGUGCGGGAGACAUCACCGGGCUGCACGUGUGUUGAACGCGGAGGUGCCGUGGUUCGGCACUAGAUCGGAAUCACACCGCGAUCUGAAUCGCCGCAAGUACGACUACAUCAACCGCGUUCUAGCAACGCUUCUGCUUAGCGAUCUUCAAAGGUAUGAAGAUGCACUCACCCCUCUCUCGGUGCUAGUCUCUCCAUAGAAAGAUCUGAAUAUGGCGUAGGAAAAUUUUGAAUUUAUGCUACAUUACCCAACAGUAGCGCAUGUCCUGCGGCGACCAGAGAAUCUCUCCGACGAUGAAGCUCCAGUGCAAGCGGGCAUGGUGCUACCCGCCAACGACGGAGUUGUAGUGCAGCGGAUGUGGUGUUGCAUGCUGGACGGUGGAGCUCCAAUGCAGCGGGCAUGGUGCUACCUGCCAGCGACGGAGGUGUAGUGCAGCGGACGUAGGGCUGCAUGCCGUGCAACCUGUCGGUGGGCGCUGGAGCUGCAGUACUACGGUUCAACUUUGCUGCAUUGACGUAUCGAACCAUUCGAUGGAUUGGGCGGCCCAAGAUCCGACUGAUUUUUUAGCAGCCAUCAAUCUGCAAACACUUUUCAUCCAUAAGGACAAAAAAAUAACAUAAAAUCGACGUAAAUUAUCCUUGGGCACCGUUCUGCGCCGGCUCACCGGCGCGAGCGCCCCCGCCGGUCAACGUGCAACCCUACGAUGCAACAUCUGCUAGCCAUCAGAUAUGUUUGUCUCUUCGUCAAUCUCUUGCAUUGUCUUCCUCUCAAAAAUUGCAGCGUCACGAGCGUCAUUGACCCAGGUCGUAAUCUCCCGUGAGGCAACUGAGCUCGAAGCAGCACAACACACCCCGUGCUCGCCGGAGCCGCCGCUCGUCGGCGCACUCGCUAGCACGCUCGUCGGAGCCACUCGCCGGAGCUGCUCGUCGGUGCGCUCGUCAGAGCCGCUCGUCGGAGCUCGUCGCCGCUUGUCACAACACCCUCAUGCCCUCCCCCCGUCGCUCGCCGCUUGUCGUCGUCGCCGCUCGUCGCCGUCGACGCCGCCGGUUUGAAGCUUUUUUCACUUUAUUGAAACUUUUUCCGGGUCGCUUGAAACUUUUUCCACAACGGUUGAAGCUUUUUCCAUGUCGUUUGAAGCUUUUUGCUGGUUGUAGCAAAAAUGACAGGCUUUCCUCGUUGGUAUGUGGUUGAAGCUUUUCAAACAUAUGGUUGAAGCUUUUGUGUCAAUGAUUGCAGCUUUUUGUGUUUCGCUGUCGCCGGUUGCAACAAAUCAAAUGAAGAAUGUAGCAAAUUUGUAUAAUGGUUGUAGCAUUUUCCAUCAUGGAUGGAGCUCGCCAUGCCAAUGCUUGUAUCAAAGAACAAAACGGCUUGCAACAAAACAGAAUUACGGAUGUAACAAAUUUGUAUAAUGGUUGUAGCAUUUUUUCAUCAUGGUUGCAGCUCGCCAUGCCAAACGCUUGUAGCAAAAUUUCCGUCAACGCUUGAAGCUUUUUUUUCCAUGCCGGUUGAACCUUUUUUUAUGUCGUUUGAAGCUUUUUNNNNNNNNNNNNNNNNNNNNNNNNNNNNNNNNNNNNNNNNNNNNNNNNNNNNNNNNNNNNNNNNNNNNNNNNNNNNNNNNNNNNNNNNNNNNNNNNNNNNNNNNNNNNNNNNNNNNNNNNNNNNNNNNNNNNNNNNNNNNNNNNNNNNNNNNNNNNNNNNNNNNNNNNNNNNNNNNNNNNNNNNNNNNNNNNNNNNNNNNNNNNNNNNNNNNNNNNNNNNNNNNNNNNNNNNNNNNNNNNNNNNNNNNNNNNNNNNNNNNNNNNNNNNNNNNNNNNNNNNNNNNNNNUGUCGUUUGAAGCUUUUUACACACCGCUUAUAGCUUUUUUUAAUAAAUGCAUACGCACAGAUCCGCCCAUGGCAGGAGGCAGCCAUGGCAUCUCCCCCGUGGCUCGGCUCGAACACGGGCGAUGGUGGUUUUGCAGCAGCGCCAGCGAAGGGUACGAGGGCGUGCGGCGGCGCCUGCGGGGGAGGGGGCGACGGCAGCCUGCGCAAAAGGAACGCCAACGAAGGUACGAGGGCGUGCGCGCGGGGGGGGCCNNNNNNNNNNNNNNNNNNNNNNNNNNNNNNNNNNNNNNNNNNNNNNNNNNNNNNNNNNNNNNNNNNNNNNNNNNNNNNNNNNNNNNNNNNNNNNNNNNNNNNNNNNNNNNNNNNNNNNNNNNNNNNNNNNNNNNNNNNNNNNNNNNNNNNNNNNNNNNNNNNNNNNNNNNNNNNNNNNNNNNNNNNNNNNNNNNNNNNNNNNNNNNNNNNNNNNNNNNNNNNNNNNNNNNNNNNNNNNNNNNNNNNNNNNNNNNNNNNNNNNNNNNNNNNNNNNNNNNNNNNNNNNNNNNNNNNNNNNNNNNNNNNNNNNNNNNNNNNNNNNGGGGGGGGGGAGGAAGACAACGACGGCCUGCACAGAGGGGACGCACGCGACGACGACGCAUGUGCGGAGGAAGGGGGCGGCGGCGACCUGCAGAGGGGACGAGCGCGAUCCGUCCAGAUCGGACAAACGUCGGGCCGAAAUAGUUCGACCGACGCGCCGUGUCAUAAACAUUUCCUAUUAUCCUUCCAAAAGUUGACCCGUCAGUUAACAAAACCACAAAUCACACACAGCCAGCACUCAGAUCCAUCACGAUAACAAACGCAGCAAAUAUACAAAAUCCAUUUAUUACAAGCAAAACCAUCUCUUCCGUUAGUCAUGGACCGGACAUCAUUAGCUAAUUAAGCUCUGGCAGCUGCCGCUACGCCGCCGCCGCCUUAACGUAGACGGUAUACUCGACGACGGUCUCGNNNNNNNNNNNNNNNNNNNNNNNNNNNNNNNNNNNNNNNNNNNNNNNNNNNNNNNNNNNNNNNNNNNNNNNNNNNNNNNNNNNNNNNNNNNNNNNNNNNNNNNNNNNNNNNNNNNNNNNNNNNNNNNNNNNNNNNNNNNNNNNNNNNNNNNNNNNNNNNNNNNNNNNNNNNNNNNNNNNNNNNNNNNNNNNNNNNNNNNNNNNNNNNNNNNNNNNNNNNNNNNNNNNNNNNNNNNNNNNNNNNNNNNNNNNNNNNNNNNNNNNNNNNNNNNNNNNNNNNNNNNNNNNNNNNNNNNNUACUCGACGACGGUCUCGCCGGACUUGGCGCCGGAGUCCAUGGUGCGCGCCUCGACGUAGCCGCGCGCCAUGCGGAACUUGCCGGUGCCCCCGACGAUGCUCAUCUCCCUCACCGCCGACAGCACCUCGUUGCGGCCGUAGAUGGUGAGGCCGCUGCCCUUGUAGUCCCCGGCGGUGAAGACGAAGUUCAUGUUCAUGAGGAGGCCGAAGGUGGCCUGGUCCGCGAACGUGUAGGUCCCCUGCGCGCGGCCAAUCUCGUCCUUGGAUUUGGCGGAGCCCGUGACGGCGGGGCCGGUGGUGAGCGGGUCGUCGAUGGCCACGACCGCGCCGAAGAAGGUGGAGGAGCUGUUGGUGGACGCCGCCUGCGCAAUCCGGAUCGCGGUCGGGCUCGUCCCCGCCAGCACGUCGUGCCAGUACAGCUUGAACUUGGUCAGGCCGUCGUCCGCCGCGGAGGCCGGGGUCAGCAGCGCCGCCGCGCACAGG